rnacentral:lncRNA from 1 species
UGGGGCCCAGGGGCAUCAGCAGCCGCGGGCUCUCGGCCGCCGCCUGGGAACUCAGGGAUCUUCCUCUUACUUGACUGGGGAAUCCAAUCAGGAGCAGUGAAAGAUAUGCAAAUACCUUGAUGAUUUGCUCUUAUAAGGACUCAUCACUUCUCAAAAAACUUCCAAAUACACCUAAAAUGAGUUAUUCUUAAGAAGGAGAAUGAGGAUCCAACCCUUUAACUGAGAUCAAGAUCUAUUCCUGAGCAUCAAUGAGAGAAGACUGGACCAUGUGGGAACAGCUUAGAGUGAAGCCAACUCCCCAGGAGACCAAGUGAGGAAUGCAACACUAGGAUUCUUGACCAGAUUUCUACUAAAGCAAAGACUUAAGAACAGAACUGCAUGCUCCACAAGUAAACCCCAAUGGCCAGCAGAACGGAAAUGCUUCAAAGUUUGACUCAUGAAGAGUGGACCUCAAGUUUAUGACUUUUAGAUUAUAUUUCCCUAGACAUACUACUUGCACUUAUCUAGGUUCAAUCUCAUUUGCUCUUUCCUGACCAUGCUUUUGGCCGAUAGCUGAUAGUACUUUUGUUGACUUUGGUUUACAGUUG